AUCCUGUCUGAACGUGGGGGGACCACCCUCCAAGCCUAAGUACUCCUCAGUGACCGAUAGUGAACCAGUACCGUGAGGGAAAGGUGAAAAGCACCCCGAUGAGGGGAGUGAAAUAGUUCCUGAAACCGGAUGCCUACGAGCAGUCGGAGGGCGGGGCUGUGCCUACGGGCGCGGCCGGUGCCUGACGGCGUACCUUUUGUAUAAUGGGUCAGCGAGUUUGUCUUUCCAGCGAGCUUAAGCCGGUAGGCGUAGGCGCAGCGAAAGCGAGUCUGAAGAGGGCGCUGAGUUGGAUGGAUAAGACCCGAAACCGGGUGAUCUAGCCAUGGGCAGGCUGAAGGUGGGGUAACACCCACUGGAGGGCCGCACCCACCUAUGUUGAAAAAUGGGGGGAUGACCUGUGGCUAGGGGUGAAAGGCCAAUCAAACCCGGAGAUAGCUGGUUCUCCGCGAAAGCUAUUUAGGUAGCGCGUUGCGUGAUGGCCGCCGGGGGUAGAGCACUGGAUGGGUGCGGGGGGCGCGAGCCUUACUAAACCUAACCAAACUCCGAAUACCGGCGAGCUUAGCGCGGCAGACAGACCAUGGGUGAUAAGGUCCGUGGUCGAAAGGGAAACAGCCCAGACCGCCGGCUAAGGUCCCCAAGUCAUGGCUAAGUGGAAAAGGAAGUGGGAAGGCCAAGACAACCAGGAAGUUGGCUUAGAAGCAGCCAUCUUUUAAAGAAAGCGUAACAGCUCACUGGUCUAGGCAAGCCGUCCCGCGCCGAAGAUGUACCGGGGCUCAAGCCAUGCACCGAAGCCGCGGAUUCAGAGGUCAGAAGACAGGGAUCAGGCAUCAGAUGACCAAGGACGAGGGCCCGGUUCGAACGUUUGAGGAUCUUACCGUCUUCAAGCGCGCCUAUCGGGUGUCGUUGGAGGUUCAUCGGAUGAGCCUGACGUUCCCAAAACUGGAGCAGUAUGCUCUUGGCGAUCAGGUUCGACGGGCGUCGAAGUCGAUCUGUGCGAACAUUGCCGAGGGCUUUGGCAAGCAGCGUCAAUCGAAGGCGGAGUUCAAGCGUUAUCUGCUGAUGGCGCUGGGCUCGGCCGACGAGAUGC
rnacentral:rRNA from 1 species